rnacentral:rRNA from 1 species
UAGGGAAUUUUGGGCAAUGGGCGAAAGCCUGACCCAGCAACGCCGCGUGUGGGAUGAAGGCCCUCGGGUCGUAAACCACUGUCAGGAGGAAAGAAAAACCAUCCGGGUAAUAUUCGGGUGGUCUGACGGUACCUCCAAAGGAAGCACCGGCUAACUCCGUGCCAGCAGCCGCGGUAAUACGGAGGGUGCAAGCGUUGUUCGGAAUUACUGGGCGUAAAGCGCGUGUAGGUGGUUGAGUAAGUCGAAUGUGAAAGCCCCGGGCUCAACCCGGGAAGUGCAUCCGAAACUGCUCGACUAGAGUCCCGGAGAGGAAGGCAGAAUUCCCAAUGUAGGGGUGAAAUCCGUAGAUAUUGGGAGGAAUACCGGUGGCGAAGGCGGCCUUCUGGACGGUCGACUGACACUCAGACGCGAAAGC